CAAAGUGUGUUCGCCGGCGACCAGUAGACAUGGCAAGCGCCAGCUCUAGGGCUCCAAAGUGCGGAAAUGUGCCCGUUCACUCGGAUCCAAAGUAGAAGAAGUCAUCUGGGCAUCAUUGCGUCGUGUUUGGAUGCCAAAACAACCAGCGGAAAAGGAGCAGGUUGCUUAGCGCUGUUUGCGAAGAGCACAACACACGUAGGGAAUCGUGCCGGUGCGGUGUUUUCAGCCUGCGCCGAUUUCCAUCCGCAACGAAGAAUGCCAAGCUGCGCCACCGGUGGAUAGCUGCAGUGAAUAGGAAGAACUACCAACCCAGUGAAAAUGCACGAUGUGCAGGUGGUGAAGGGCAGGCGUCUGCUAACCAGGCAGUCAAACGACCUCGCCAGUUGGUUGCCAAGCGCGGCCAACCCAGUAGAGACCAUUACAAACAAGACCAAACUGAAAGUGCA